CCUGCAGCAUUUAGAAAAAAAAAAAAAAUCAGUAUUUCACCAUAAAAUCAUAAUGUUGACAUAGCUAAGUUUAGAAAACUAAACUCAAAAGUUACACGAGUAUUCUCUGUGGAAAUGCAGUCUUCUGUGUUACCUUAUGUGGUGUCCAUCUUUAAUACGUACACCUGCACUGAGGUUCAGCUAUGGAGCUCAGUAACUUUUUCUGCUUAAACUAUGCUUGAGAUCGAGGCUAGGAUGUGUAUUCAGAUUUCUCCCACAAUGAUGGAAGAUGUCUCAAUUCUUCCUCAUAAAUUAUGUCAAUUUUUGCUUUACAUACUUUGACUCUAUUAGUAGGUAAAUAAAAAUUAAGAAUUAUUCUCUCCUAUAUAACUGGGCCACUUUUCAUCAGCAAAAUACCUCUUUUUAUUUCUAAAUAUACUACUGUCUUACAGCCUUUUCUGAUUCAUAUUAUUAACUGUAUUUUGGAUAAUUAUCUAAUUGCUGUAUUAAUACACCAUUUUCCAUCCCUCUAUUUCUAGUCUGUGGUAUCAUCAUGUUUUAGAUAAAUCCCAAAUAAUGGGUGAAUUUUUUGAUUAUUUAUCCAAUUUGAGACUCUCAGUAUUUUAGGUAAUGGGGAGGAAUGUUUCUGACAUUCUAAGUCAUGAAGCUUUAUUAGAGAAACAUUUAUUUGAAACAGAGAUCAUCCUAUAAGAAAAGGACAUACCUCCAUUACAAGUUGGUGAGCACGAGAAACCAGUGUGAGACCAUUGGCAUGGUUAAACGUUUCAGAAAUAUCUUGUCCGAAUGUGUAGCCAGCGCCGCGUGGUGAAAUACCCCACCCACCACGAUCAUCUGGAUCUGACCAUAAUAGAUCACACAUUGGGCCCUGGCAAAGAAAAUGGAAGUAUGCGACGCUCCGGACGCGCAGGCUCAGCGGCCGUGGCUCACGGGC